UGUUCUCCCCGUUCGAAUAUGAAGCUGUCAGAUCCGGAGGAGCCACCGCUCUUCAGCCGCGCGUCGCCCAUCUCAUAGUCACGCGUCGCCCAACCUCGACCCAGGCGCCGCUCAUCUGUCCAGCCUUGCAGACCUACGUGCCACAGCUGCUGUCGUUGUCGAGCUGCCGCCACGGGUCUGUCGAGUGGGUUUUCUUUCGUCACUGCUCUCAUCGGAUUCUUUAGAUUCUUGGAUAUGGAAGGAUUUUGAGGGGACCAAUCAAGUUUGAAGUUUAAGACCAAUUUCGGCAGAAAACUUGCUAAGGUAUCGCUUCAAGGCUAUGCUUGGCAGGAGGGGGAUAAGCUUACUUGAACUAAUUUGGAUUUACUUUUGAGGUAAGAGAAGGGACGCGCCGGCGAAUGACAAGCGGAAUUCGUGAUCGAGCCAUUGAGACUAGUUUUAAACUUCUACUCAUGAUAUUUAGAUUUCUUUUCACGUUUUUCAACUUUCAGUCUUGAUGUUUGAAAUUUACUGUUAAGAUUUGUUUUUAGACCUAUUUAUUAUCCCUUAUGAUUUAUGGGUACCCUAUCAUUUGUUUUUAAUAUAUGAAUUUAA